rnacentral:rRNA from 1 species
CACAAGCGGCGGAGCAUGCGGAUUAAUUCGAUGCAACGCGAAGAACCUUACCAAGGCUUGACAUACACCGGACACAUCCAGAGAUGGGUGCUUCUUCGGACUGGUGUACAGGUGGUGCAUGGUUGUCGUCAGCUCGUGUCGUGAGAUGUUGGGGUUAAGUCCCGCAACGAGCGCAACCCUCGUUCUAUGUUGCCAGCACGUGAUGUGGGGACUCAUAGGAGACUGCCGGGGUCAACUCGGAGGAAGUGGGGAUGACGUCAAAUCAUCAUGCCCCUUAUGUCUUGGGCUUCACGCAUGCUACAAUGGCCGGUACAAAGGGUUGCGAAGCCGUGAGGUGGAGCGAAUCCCAAAAACCGGUCUCAGUUCGGAUUGGGGUCUGCAACUCGACCCCAUGAAGUCGGAGUCGCUAGUAAUCGCAGAUCAGCAACGCUGCGGUGAAUACGUUCCCGGGCCUU